rnacentral:snoRNA from 1 species
GGCCUUUAUGUUGCCCCUUCACUUCUGGAAAGUAGUGAAUGUGGUGUCCAAAAAAAGUGUGAAUUAAACUUUUUGCAAUCAUUUCUUGCCCUUGAAUUUUGUGUCUUUGGUGUAGAAGCUGCGUAAGUAACUGUU